CAGUAGCCACGGUAAAACGAAGGGUGCAAGCGUUAAUCGGAAUUACUGGGCGUAAAGCGUGCGUAGGCGGUGAGUUAAGUCUGCUGUGAAAUCCCCGGGCUCAACCUGGGAAUGGCAGUGGAUACUGGCUCGCUAGAGUGUGUCAGAGGAUGGUGGAAUUCCCGGUGUAGCGGUGAAAUGCGUAGAGAUCGGGAGGAACAUCAGUGGCGAAGGCGGCCAUCUGGGACAACACUGACGCUGAGGCACGAAAGCGUGGGGAGCAAACAGGACUAGAUACCCCUGUAGUCCCUGUCUCUUAUAC
rnacentral:rRNA from 1 species